UCCUUUUUUUGUGCUUUAAGUAAUUGUAAUUAUUAAAUACUGGAUAUGGAUAGAGAUAUGGAAAAACAGUUAUAGGAGUGCAUUAACUUCUCUUUUUUAUUCCCAGCACAAAUCCUUGUGUAUAAAAAAAUAACAGUAAUCAUAGCUCAACUGGAGUGUCAUAUAAAUUUUCUGGCAAAACACUUGGGAAGGAUACACACCAGAUUUUAAUGAAAAAUGAUAUACCAACAGCAAUUUCUCUUCUAUAAUGAAGGAACUUCAAUUUCCAUUGAUCUCAUCUGUAGAUGUAUCACAUAAGAAUUGUGGAAAGUUCGUUACCACACUGCAAAAACCACAAUCUGCUGUCCUCACACCAAGAUCAUAUGGGUGCUGAACUAGAGGAUGACACAUCCCAUCUUGUGGCUCGAUGUGUCUAUUACCAGCUGCAGACAGUUGUCUGUGCUCCAAACCAGCUGGAUACAAGGUAGUUCUUGUUCAAAAGUCAUGUGGCAGAGUUAUUGGAAACGUGAGCUGUAGCUACUGCAUUCUGCUUCUUGGUUCAGGUAAGCUAGAUACUAACUUUUCUCUGGCCUGUUCUGAGAUACGAAGUGCU